AUUGAACGCUGGCGGCAGGCCUAACACAUGCAAGUCGAGCGAGCGGCGGACGGGUGAGUAAUGUCUGGGAAACUGCCUGAUGGAGGGGGCUAACUACUGGAAACGGUAGCUAAUACCGCAUACCAUCAGAUGUGCCCAGAUGGGAUUAGCUAGUAGGUGGGGAAAUGGCUCACCUAGGCGACGAUCCCUAGCUGGUCUGAGAGGAUGACCGGCCACACUGGAACUGAGACACGGUCCAGACUCCUACGGGAGGCAGCAGUGGGGAAUAUUGCGCAAUGGGCGCAAGCCUGAUGCAGCCAUGCCGCGUGUGUGAAGAAGGCUUUCGGGUUGUAAAGCACUUUCGGCAGGGAGGCGUUACUCGCAGAAAAAGCACCGGCUAACUCCGUGCCAGCAGCCGCGGUAAUAC
rnacentral:rRNA from 1 species